CAGUGCUGCCAUAACCCGCACGCCUCGCGUUUCAAUCACUCUGUCCGCCUUUUGUCUCGACCCUGCGGCCCGUUACUUUGACAGUGGGCUUCUAACCGAGCAAGCUUCAAAGCUAGAAAAAGGGAAAGUGUGGUCAUUAAUGAAGUGCUAUGUUUUCAAAGCCAGACGCUUGAACGUAAGUGCUUGGAUGUGAUGGUGCUUGGAUGAUGAUGAAAGACAGUGGUUUCACCCUCCCACCAAACUGACCCUAAAUCCACAUAAGAGGUUAGUUAAAGUUCAUGACAGUAAGUUUGUUCACAAUAUGUGUAUAGGGCUUUGGAGCCUUGCAUUUUUGCAGUCUUUAAAUACCAAAUAUUUUAAAUAUGGUUGCACUGUCUCUAGUUAUUCAUUUCCUGUAUGCUUAUGAGAAUAAGAGACUAAUACUGCAUGUUUUUGUAGAAAAAAAAUACUAGUGUUUAAAUCUGUAAAAGAAGAGGCUUAGUCGUGACUCCAUGAAGGGACUGUGCUUUCUUAUUUCAUCCUUUUUUUUUUCUUGUUUGGCAAAUGUCUUGAUAUGCCUUUGCAUUCAAAAGGCCAUUUCUUUUAAUUGAUGUAAAUAUUCCCUUCUGGAGUUUUAUAUGAAUGGGUCUGUCUGUAUGAUGAUCUCCAUUUGUACAGUAUGGCUUUUCCUGCAUAUCCAGAGAGAGGAAGACCUGUGCAAACGCAUGAGCUACCCGGAAAGGAUGCUGGGAAGACUGUAUGACAAUCCUGCACCCCUUCCCUCUCAUUUCCUUCAGAAUUUUUAUUUUUUUUACCAGUGUUGUGCUACCUAUCUCUUUCAUCUCUCUCUUAUUUACAGUCUCAGUUUUCUCAGUCCUCAUCUGUCCCUGCUGCUCCUCUCAGUCCGUUCAUGCAGAAGGGAAGGGAUGGAGCGAAGGGAGGCUCUGAAGGUGAGAAGCCGCUGAAGGGUGGUAGAGCAGCGAUUCUCUGCAGGUGUGGAAAGAAAGUGGGCGAUUUGGGCGCGUGGUCCAGGCGUGGCCCCUCAGCAUGGGCAGUGGGCAGCUCCGGAGGGGCGUAGCGAAUGGUGCUUGGAGCGUAAAGGCUCUGAGGCCCUGGAGGGCCGAGAGCAAGAGGGUGGAACAGUACACGCCCGGCUGCUCCACCCGCAGCUAGUCUCUGAAGAAGCUCGUAAUCAGGCGUGCGGCCUCCGUGGAGGCGAUCCUCCCUAGGCAGGGGUGAAGCUGAGAUGGGUGAAGGAGGGCUGAAGAGACCUUUAGCUGGAGCUUCUGUAGUGACUGACUCGGAAUCUUGGGAUGGGGGGCUGCUGCCAUUUAUACCCCUGGCGGACUGAGUGUUGCUCCAUCGCCCUCCAGUGGUUGAACAAACUCCAGUGCUCAACAUCUCCUGCUCAGUUUUAACAUUAGAGCUGGAGGUGCUGGUCACCACACUCUUCAGCUGCUGGAUUACAGCACGACCAUUACGCACUUUCCCAGUUUCACUGUUCUUCUUAGAGGCUCCCGCAUCGGUCUUCAGUCUCUUGCCAUUGUGCUCCCACUCCUCUUCCUUGUCCUCCUCUUCGUCUUCUUCAGCUUCACUGUCACUGGCUGAGUCCGAGGAGCCUGACAGGCUGUCCUCUCUAUGCCGGAAGACCUCGAGUUGUUGUCUCCUUGUUUGUGGAGGUGUGUUUUCAGGGCUGGAGUGGUAAGGCCUCUUCCUCCUGUUAUCUGAAUGGUUAGCAGUAAUGUGAGUGCAAGAGUCUCUCCCUUUGCGCUCAGACUCAUUUCGUCCAACUCCGCCCUUCGUCGGCUGGGCACCAUUCGGGCCUGGAAAGCAGACAGAAUUGACAUAAUAUAGAAAAAUGCUGUGUUUAUGUACAACCCCACUUCUAAAAAAGUUGGGACAGUAUUUAAAGUGUUAAGUAAAAACAAAUAGGAUUGAUCUGUAAAUGUACUUUGACUUGUUUUUAAACAAAAAACGUAUAAAGAGAAGGUUUUUGAUGUUGUACCUAAUUGACUGCAUAGUUUUUUUUGAAGAUAAACGUUUAUUUUGUAAUUG
ensembl:lncRNA